rnacentral:tRNA from 1 species
GCCGCCUUAGCUCAGCUGGUAGAGCAAUAGUUUUGUAAACUAUAGGCCGUCAGUUCAAAUCUGACAGGCGGCU